rnacentral:snRNA from 1 species
UCGACUUCCCCUGGGGGUA